rnacentral:rRNA from 1 species
AAGGGCACCACAAGAACGCGUGGAGCAUGUGGCUUAAUUUGACUCAACGCGGGAAAUCUUACCGGGUCCGGACACACUGAGGAUUGACAGGUUCUAUCACGUUUGUUCAUUUAGACUUCUGUCUAUUUAAACUUCGUGUGUUAAAUAUGCUAGUCCUUUCAUGAUUAUGUGAUAGGUGGUGCAUGGCCGUUCUUAGUUCGUGGAGUGAUUUGUCUGCUUAAUUGCGUUUCACUACGAACGUGCAAUCAAAUAAACGUUUGCAUGUGCAUUUGAUCCCGCCUCUCUGAGGUGUUGUGCGUCUCUUGCACGCCAAUGCAUCGUUUAAGGCAUGUUCUGAAAGCAACGAACGUGACCG